CAGUGAGUUUCUGUUGGAUAAUAUUGAGUGAAUCCCUUGUGAGCUGCUCAGUCUGUCCUAAAGAAAAUCCCUGCAUUAAGUGUCCUGUUGGAUGGAAUCUGAUUAAGGAGCAUUGCUACUAUGUAUCUAAUGAAACAAUGAACUGGGAUAAUGCUAAUGAACACUGUAAGAAAGAAGGAGCUCUUUUAGUGGUGAUCAAUUCUAAGGAUGAACAGGAUGAGCUGGCAAAACUAAUAUCAGUAAAUUAUUGGAUUGGAUUUACUGAUAAGGAGACAGAAGGACAAUGGAAAUGGGUUGACGGCUCCAGCAGCAG